GGCUGCGGUGUGUGCCUGCCUGCCUGCCAUCCCAGGGUGGGCCGGGAGAGGAGAGCAGCUGAGCUGGCAUGGUGCCUGCGCCUGGGGAGCUAUUUGGAGAUGCGUUUGAUGUCUCCGCCGCAAGGGUGAUGGAUGCUGGGGCGAACGUCGUGAUGGCACAGCCAACGCUCUGUGCUGGGCUUUGAAGUCCCCCGAGCGGAGCAUCCCAGCUCGCAGAUUUGGGAAGACAUGGACUACGGGGCAGGAGAUGCUACUUGCCAAGGCGGCUACGUGAGGAGCAGCCUCAGAGCUCAACAUCCCAGCUGCACCCUGCUCCAGGAGGACGCAGGAGUUCCCCGUCAGCUGUCCCUUCCUCCGCAUCUCUGUCACUGUGUCCCCGGUGUGCAGACCCCGGUGAGAUGCUGCCACGCACCGUGGGCUCCUGAAGCCAUGGAGCAGCACAGACCCAAGGAGGAGGACGAGCAGGCUGAGGUGAUGCUGCCUGUUGCUUGCAGUGGGUGCUGCAGCUUGCCUGGAGGAAGCCCCCACAAUAACUCAGUGCGUAAACGUGGGAGGAUACAGGACAGGAGACCCGGAACGUCCGUGCCGUGAGAGACCGGCCGGUCCUCCUGCAGUCCUCUCACACCUGCAGGGUCAGAACAGGUGAACAGACUGAGACGGCUGUUGGUGUGCAGUCCCUGACAGGAGCAGCGGAAGAGCCUUAAGGAAGCGGGGCUCUCCCAGAAGAGAGAGGCACGCAAACACUGCUGCUGUAAAGCUUCAGGUGAUGGGCUGCGACAAUUGCGUGUGCAGCCCUGAGCUCCUCUGCACUCAGCGGUGAGAAACGGGACCCGCCAGAGAUCUGUCAGAGCGCUCCGUCUCUGCUGAGCGCGGUACCGACAGCCGCGCACCGCUCCGCGCCACUCACCGCGCCGCGUCCACCCGCAGCUCCUGGAGGGCCGUCCGCAGGCUGCGCUCCUCCUCGUCCUCGUCGUCGUCGUCGUCGUCCUCGUCCUCGUCGUCGUCCUGCUGCUGCUGCUGCUGCUCCUCCUCGUCCUCGUGCCGCCUGUUUGCAAGCCAAGGACACGUGAAAGGAACGUCAGCGGGACUGAGGCGGAGCUGCACCCAGCCUGUGGUGGGCGACCCAAUAAAAGCCAAGUGUUUCGUAA